rnacentral:rRNA from 1 species
CCUACGGGAGGCAGCAGUAGGGAAUCUUCCACAAUGGGCGAAAGCCUGAUGGAGCAACGCCGCGUGAGUGAUGAAGGCCUUCGGGUUGUAAAACUCUGUCAUUCGGGACGAACCGGAGUCUGAGGAAAUGCAGACUCUCUGACGGUACCGGAGGAGGAAGCCCCGGCUAACUACGUGCCAGCAGCCGCGGUAAUACGUAGGGGGCAAGCGUUGUCCGGAUUCACUGGGCGUAAAGCGCGCGCAGGCGGUGAUGUAAGUCUGAGGUGAAAACCCGAAGCUCAACUUCGGGACUGCCUUGGAUACUGCGUCACUUGAGGAUAGGAGAGGCAAGGGGAAUUCCACGUGUAGCGGUGAAAUGCGUAGAGAUGUGGAGGAACACCUGUGGCGAAGGCGCCUUGCUGGCCUAUUUCUGACGCUGAGGCGCGAAAGCGUGGGGAGCAAACAGGAUUAGAUACCCUGGUAGCCCACGCUGUAAACGAUGAGUGCUAGGUGUAGGUGGGCUCAUACCCAUCUGUGCCGAAGCUAACGCAUUAAGCACUCCGCCUGGGGAGUCGGUCGCAGACUGAAACUCAAAGGAUUGACGGCNGAGAGNGCGAGGACGACGACGAGGGAGAG